rnacentral:rRNA from 1 species
AUGAGAUUAGAGUCUGAUGGGCACCUAAGGCUGCAUCAAUGGUCUGAUGAUGAAAAUCAGUGGCUUGAGUCUGAUGUAAUGGAGAUCUCUCGUCACUGUGAUGAUUCCCGAAGACCGUGCUGGUCGAAUGGGGAGUACAUGAUGUCUGGUGAUUGUGCUUACCCAAAAGUGUGCGGGGAGUACGGGAUAUGCACAAAUGGGCAGUGCACCUGUCCUCAUGAGAGUAAUACUAAUUCAAACUACUUCAAGCCAGUAGAUGACCGGAAAGCAAAUCUUGGUUGUAAGCCACUAAAUCCAAUCUCUUGUCAGGACAUGCAACAUCAUGAGCUCUUAAUGCUUACAGAUGUUUCCUAUUUUGAUAAUAGCCAUGCCGUUGUGAAUUUAACAAACAGAAAUGAUUGUAAGCAAGCCUGCUUGAAGAAGUGCUCCUGCAGGGCUGUUAUGUUCAGGUAUGGCCAGAACGAUUCCAAUGGUGAAUGUUUCUGGGUAACAAAGGUUUUCUCGUUGCAAUCAAUAAAACCUGAAGCUGCUCAUUACAACUCCACUGCUUAUCUCAAGGUGCACCUUAGCCCCUCCAGACGUUACAACUCUACUGCAUACUCCAACUCCAGUUCUGCUCCCACUCCAAACAAAAGGAAGGUCAUUUUAGCAAUUACAGUUCCAACAACAAGUAUUCUUGUAUUACUUCUCAUUGUUGCCAUUCUUUAUCUGCAAAGGAAGAGGAAGUAUGAAGACAGCGAUGAAGACUCUGAAUUUGAUAAUUUAUCAUCAGGAAUGCCAUUGAGGUUUUCUUUUGAGAAGUUGAGAGAAUGCACCAAAGGUUUCAGUCAAAAACUCGGGGGAGGUGGAUUCGGUUCUGUUUUUGAAGGGAAACUGGAUGAAGAGAGAGUUGCAGUGAAACGUUUGGAAGGUGCUAGACAAGGAAAGAAAGAAUUCUUGGCCGAGGUUGAAACUAUUGGCAGCAUUGAACACAUCAAUCUUAUCAAGCUUAUUGGCUUCUGUGUAGAGAAAUCUCAGAGGCUUCUGGUAUAUGAAUAUAUGUCGAGAGGGUCACUUGAUAGGUGGAUCUACAACUGUCAUAAUAAUGCCCCUUUUGAUUGGUGCACCCGAUGUAGGAUUAUUCUAGAUAUUGCCAAGGGCCUAUGUUAUCUUCAUGAAGGGUGCAGGCGAAAAAUCGCUCAUUUGGACAUCAAACCACAAAACAUUCUUUUAGACGAGAACUUCAGUGCCAAAGUGGCUGAUUUUGGACUAUCUAAGUUAAUAGACAGGGAUCAAAGCAAGGUAGUGACAAUGAUGAGAGGAACACCUGGGUAUCUGGCGCCUGAAUGGUUAACAUCGCAAAUCACUGAAAAAGUCGAUGUGUACAGCUUUGGAGUUGUUAUCUUGGAAAUAAUAAGUGGAAGAAAAAGUAUUGACCAUUCUCGGCCCGAGGAGAAUGUUCAUAUUAUUUAUUUAUUACAAGAAAAGGCUCGAAACAAUCAGUGGAUUGAUCUGAUCGAAAAUAAUAGUGAUGAUAUGGUCUCACGCCAGGAGGAAGUGAUUCAAAUGAUGAAACUUGCAAUGUGGUGCCUGCAGAAUGACAGCAGCCAUAGGCCUUCCAUGUCAACGGUGAUCAAGGUGUUGGAAGGUACUAUAAGCGUUGAAGCUGACAUAAUUCAGAGCUUUCUCAAUGCAAACUCUGCCAUGUCUGUUCAAGAUAAGCCAUACCCAUAUUCGGUUCGUGAAGCAUCUAUCUUAUCUGGCCCACGGUGA